AUGAAAUGCAAGGACGCUCUUUUUAGAGGUCCGAUCUUUCAUUUUCCCUACACUGUGAACUAAAAUUUUACACCAUUUUUAAACGCAUGAGUCUAAGAAUGUCACAAGUCUCUUAAUUGAGCAUAAAACUUGUAA
rnacentral:misc_RNA from 1 species